rnacentral:lncRNA from 1 species
AAAGCUCCUUUUCCACCUGCACAGAUGCCACAAGUCCCAGUUGAUGAAAUGACACUGAAGAGAACACAGGUCUUGAGUUUACUUCCUCUCUUGCUGCUGCUGCUGCUGCUGCUAAGUCGCUUCAGUCGUGUCCAACUCUGUGCGACCCCAUAGACGUCAGCCCACGAGGCUCCCCCGUCCCUGGGAUUCUCCAGGCAAGAACACUGGAGUGGGUUGCCAUUUCCUUCUCCAAUGCAUGAAAGUGAAAAGA